rnacentral:lncRNA from 1 species
GGGGGGUUUGGCGGCGGCGAGAGUUGUUCAUGCUGGGGAAGGUGCAACAACCACAGGAUAAUAUAGGUUCAUGCAUGUCGACUGUCGUUAUGGGAAUAUAGCAAACAGUAUCGGAGAACAAAGAAUGAAAAAGGAGAUUUGGAUAUGCUAAGAACUAACAAGGUGUUUAUAAUCGAACUCAAACUUAAAUUAUAAUUAUUACUUUUGGU